ACUGUAAUCUAGUCAGCAGGAUGAUCCGUAUCAGGCUCUACUGUAAUCUAUUCAGCAGGGUGAUCCGUAUCAGGCUCUACUGUAAUCUAGUCAGCAGGAUGAUCCGUAUCAGGCUCUACUGUAAUCUAGUCAGCAGGAUGAUCCGUAUCAGGCUCUACUGUAAUCUAGUCAGCAGGAUGGUCCGUAUCAGGCUCUACUGUAAUCUAGUCAGCAGGGUGAUCCGUAUCAGGCUCUACUGUAAUCUAGUCAGCAGGAUGAUCCGUAUCAGGCUCUACUAAUCUAGUCAGCAGGGUGAUCCGUAUCAGGCUCUACUGUAAUCUAGUCAGCAGGAUGGUCCGUAUCAGGCUCUACUGUAAUCUAGUCAGCAGGGUGAUCCGUAUCAGGCUCUACUAAUCUAGUCAGCAGGAUGAUCCGUAUCAGGCUCUACUGUAAUCUAUUCAGCAGGAUGGUCCGUAUCAGGCUCUACUGUAAUCUAUUCAGCAGGAUGGUCCGUAUCAGGC